rnacentral:rRNA from 1 species
GACGAACGCUGGCGGCGUGCUUAACACAUGCAAGUCGAACGGAAAGGCCCUGCUUGCAGGGUACUCGAGUGGCGAACGGGUGAGUAACACGUGGGUGAUCUGCCCUGCACUUCGGGAUAAGCCUGGGAAACUGGGUCUAAUACAGGAUAGGAGCCAUUUUUAGUGUGAUGGUUGGAAAGUUUUUUCGGUGUAGGAUGAGCUCGCGGCCUAUCAGCUUGUUGGUGGGGUAAUGGCCUACCAAGGCGGCGACGGGUAGCCGGCCUGAGAGGGUGGACGGCCACCUUGGGACUGAGAUACGGCCCAGACUCCUACGGGAGGCAGCAGUGGGGAAUAUUGCACAAUGGGCGCCAGCCUGAUGCAGCGACGCCGCGUGGGGGAUGACGGCCUUCGGGUUGUAAACUCCUUUCGCUAGGGACGAAGCUUUUUGUGACGGUACCUAGAUAAGAAGCACCGGCUAACUACGUG